UUGAACGCUGGCGGCAUGCUUUACACAUGCAAGUCGAACGGCAGCGCGGGCUUCGGCCUGGCGGCGAGUGGCGAACGGGUGAGUAAUACAUCGGAACGUGCCCAGUAGUGGGGGAUAGCUCGGCGAAAGCCGGAUUAAUACCGCAUACGACCUGAGGGUGAAAGCGGGGGAUCUUCGGACCUCGCGCUAUUGGAGCGGCCGAUGGCGGAUUAGCUAGUUGGUGGGGUAAAGGCCUACCAAGGCGACGAUCUGUAGCUGGUCUGAGAGGACGACCAGCCACACUGGGACUGAGACACGGCCCAGACUCCUACGGGAGGCAGCAGUGGGGAAUUUUGGACAAUGGGCGAAAGCCUGAUCCAGCAAUGCCGCGUGUGUGAUGAAGGCCUUCGGGUUGUAAAGCACUUUUGGCGGGAACGAAAAGGACUGUGCCAAUACCACGGUUCGAUGACGGUACCCGCAGAAUAAGCACCGGCUAACUACGUG
rnacentral:rRNA from 1 species